rnacentral:tRNA from 1 species
UGCGUAGCUCAGCUGGAUAGAGCGUCGGCUUCCGAAGCCGAAAGUCGCAGGUUCGACUCCUGCCGCGUG